GCGCCUGCCACCCGAGUUCAAUUCGGCCGCUGUUGUCUCUCACCAGGACUGCUUGACCAGGAGUGAAACAUCAAAUCUCCUUGUUCGAGGAGCCCUCAGUUUGUCUCUGCCAUUUGUCGUGCCUCUCCUUCUGAGAUGGGGUUUGAGGAGAUCCAAACAAGAGCACAAGGGGUGACGCAGGAACAGCAUAGCUGGAAUGGCUGAAACUGUUUCACAAACAAGCUGUGGUCCAUUGUCACUGACUAAGUGUUCUGGAACUUCAGUCCUUGAGAACACGUCAACAGGCUGUGAGGCUGUUGUGGAGGCUAUUGGGAACACUUCUGGCCACACUGUGGCUGCAUCCAUUACUACCAAGAAAUCUGUGCCCAUGUAUGGUCCAAAAGAAUCCACAGGAAGCCUCCUCCUUGGUAAUACAGGCCAUUCCCAGGGAUGGAGAGGCACUGCUCUUGGCAUUUUCUGGAUGUGUUGACAGCCUGAACAGUGUAUGGAAACUGCUUGAUCUGCUGAUCUAUCACAGGCUACCAGGCAAAGCUUUAAACCAAUAUUUCUAUUUUGACGUGACUAGAUAACCGACAUGUAGCUCCUCCAACACUUUACCUCACAAGUUGGAUGGUACAACAACUCUCAAUCCCCACAUGAGGCAACCUCUGUCCUGGCGCAGGUAAAAAUGGGGAAUUGGGAAUAUCUGCUGCAUAUUCCAGCCAUUUUGAGAGGCCGUAUAGACCUGAGCCAGUUUGGGGUCUUUUCUGGUUUUCUUUUUGAUUAUCUCUGUCAUAAUAGGGAGACUUACCAUUUGCUUUGGGAAAAAUACGACAAGAGGAAUGUCCUCCUUUGUAAAUUGUUCAGGCAUUUCCUUUUCCAAGGGUAAAUGGGAUAAUACAUCAGCAUUUCCAUGAUUAUUCAUCCUCUUGAAUUUCAUCUUGUAAUUGUGUCCUCCAAGAAACAGAGCCCAUCUCUGUAUUUGUGCUGUUGGUGGAACACCCUUCUGCGGAUUGAAAAUGGAUGCUUCUGGUUGAUGAUCAGUAAUGAAGGUCAACUCUCUCCCAUACAAUAGACAAUAGGUGCAGGAGUAGGCCAUUUAGCCCUUCGAGCCAGCGCCACCAUUCACUGUGAUCAUGGCUGAUCAUCCACAAUCAGUACCCUUUUCCUGCCUUCUCCCCAUAUCCCUUCACUCUGCUAUCUUUAAGAGCUCUAUCAAACUCUCUCUUGAAAGAAUCCAGAGAAUUGGCCUCCACUGCCUUCUGAGGCAGAGCAUUCCACAGAGCCACAACCCUCUGUGUGAAAAAGUUUUUCCUCAACUCCAUUCUAAAUGGUCUACCCCUUAUUCUUAAACUGUGGCCUCUGGUUCUGGACUCCCCCAACAUCAGGAACAUGUUUCCUGCCUCUAGCGUGUCCAAUCCCUUAAUAAUCUUAUACAAGUACUGACUGAUACAUUUCACACCCCAAACCAGACACAAGACCUCUCUGUCAAUCUGUGCGUAAUUUUUCUCUGCAGCGGUAAGGGAACGUGAUGCAAAGGCUAUGGGACGUUCACUUCCAACACUCAUAACAUGUAAUGUAACUGCACUUGCAAUACUGUGCAAAAGUCUUGGGCACGUAUACAGCAUAUAGCUAAGGUGUCUAAGAUUUUUGCACAGUACUGUAGUAAUUUUAUGUAUUGCACUAUACUACUGCUGCAAAAAAAAUCAUGACAUACUGUAUGUGAUUGAUGGUUAAUCUGAUUCUGAUAUGGGUCUGUAUUGUUGGACUGAGAGUUUGAAGGGAGCAGGGAGAGGGGAAUCAUG